CGCAAGUCCUAAGGGGUCUCAUAGAUGGGGAAGAUGGUAGUGUAGCGGUAGAUCUGCCCAAUCUAGGUGCACAGCUUGUAUUCAUGUUAAUUGAGUUGAGUUUUCAUUGCCCCGACUUAUUUGGGUUGGAGAUUUACUGCAACACAUUAGCAUAAUUUUAAAAUUAAGGAAAAAAAGGGACUUUGUUAGAGGAAGUGGUUCAGUGGUUAAGAAUACUUGCUGCUCUUUUGGGCUGGAGUUUAUUUCCGAGUAAAAAUUUCUCGCCCUUUUCCCAGUGAGGCAUUUUACGCUUGUCUCACUGCUCCUCUUAGGACCGCCGGUCUGCAGCUCGGUCUUUCCUCGUGGGAUUGUGGUUUUGCAAUGAUAGUGCCAGGUCUGAUGGAGGAGGCCGAUAAGGGUUACCACGCAGAAAGGACCUGGGCUGAUACUCUGUGGGUAGCAGCGAUUCCUGCACAAGGCCGAUGACCCCAGUUUGACCCAUGGAGCUCACAGAGAAAAACUGGCUACCCUGACUUCUUCGUCACACUGAUUGCUGAGGCGGCAUGUUUUCCUUCACACUGACAAUCUGAAGAGAUUUUCUUCAAAGGAAGAGAAAGGCUCCGCUGCCUGGGGUGUGUUGACCAGCUCUGCGACUGACUUCUGCUGCGCUGGAAGGUGAAAUGCCCUCUCAUAGGCUCAGGGCACACAGCAGGCUGUGGGUUUUUACUCCGGGCAUGUGAACACAGAGAGAAGGCAGCUGCUCAAUGCUGUCAAAGAGUUGGCUCAUCCAUCUGGCUUGCAGCAUGGCUGCGAUUGCCGCGGAUCUGGAUCGGAUGCCAGGCUCCUCAUCUACGUUGUCCUGUUAUGCGAGGGGGAGAGGAGGCUCCACCCAGAGCUGAGAUGGACUUCAAAGGCGACUGUGGCGUCUUCUCCUUGUACCCCACCGACUUUCAAGAGGGUUUCACAGCAAAAGAAGAUAAAUCAGGAUGCGCUGUGGUUUGUAAGCAGGAAACGUACCAAUGCCUCACUCGUUACAGAGGAGUGGUUGUCGGUGAAAAACCUGAGGUGUGAAAGGCUGAGAGGCAUAGUAGGUGACUGUAGGUGACAUUCAUGCACUAUGCAUUUCCAAAAGGGCACGGGAAGGCUUCUCCCCCCUCCCCCCCCACCUAAAUUAGUGGCAAACACUUAUGGGGACAAAUAUUGAGUCUGAAAGGAAACUUCAUACAUUGGAUAUAUGCAUCAAAAUAUUGCAUGGCACUCCAUAAGUAUUGUUUUAAAAGUGUCUUUAUGUAUAAGCUAAAAGAUAACUUUAAGUGAAAAGUGUUCAGGGGACCGAGUGUGUGACAUGCCUUGUGCCUGCCAUGUCUGCUCUUGGGAGGCUAAGGCAGGAGAUCAUGGGUCUGAGUUCAGCGUGAGCCACAGAAGUUCAAGUUCAUGUCAGUUAUGCUAAUUUUAGCACUGCACAUUCCACAGAUGUAUAAACUAUACUGCAUCCCAUAAUAUGUGCUGCUACAAUAAUAACUGCACUGUGUGAGUCAUAUUCUCGUACUUGGUAUUGGCUUGGGUAUUUGGGUAUUUGACUAAAGCUUACACUAAAAGGUACUUCUCACCUGGUAACUUUCUAGAGCUGGAGGGAGGAUGCUCGGAAAGAGUUGAACUUUGACCUCUUACCUAUUGAGCUUAAGAAGCAGCACUGGCAUAGAUACACGCGUGGGAAAAAUAGUUUGUGGGUGAGAGGAAGAGAACAAAGGGCAGGGUAUAGAGAACUGAGAAGGAGGAAGGGGCUGUGGUGAUGGCUCAGCGGGUCCCAUGCUUGCUGAGCCAGCAUAAAGCCUGAGCUUGGAUCCCUAGCCUCUGAUGCUUCUGAUCUCAGGGCUAGAGGUGAAGAUGGGGAUCCUGGAGCUUGCUUCACAACCAGCCUAGCCCUUCCCCCCCUCCCUCCCUCCUUCUCCUCCCUCUCUCCCUUCCUGAGACAGGGUUUCUCUGGGUAGCCCUUGGCUGUCCUGGAACUCACUCUGUAGACCAAGCCGUGGUUUGAACUCAGAGAUCCACCUGCCUCUGCCUUCUGAGUGCUGGGAUUAAAGGCAUGUGCCACCAUACCCGGCCAAUAUUAUAGUCUCAAAAAAAGAAAUAAAUAAAAAGAAGUAAUAAAAGAAAUAAGAUAGAGUGAUAGAGGAAGAGACUUGAUUUGUCUUUUGGUUUCCACCUGUGCAAAUGAGCAUGUUCACAGGUGUACACUAUAAGACAGACAGACAGACACACACACACACACACACACACACACACACACACACACACACACAGAGUAGUUUCUUCUUCUGUGACAAAUAACUCCAGAGGCAGAAAACCAGCUACAACCUCUUGAAUUCCCUUCAGGCUCCAUUCUGAGAUGUGAUUAAGUCCAUUUACUGUUUCUUAUCUUUCAUAACAUCAAUUCACUUGUACUUACCCUGAAGAUUUUUUUAUAGAAUUUAUUGUUUAUUCAUUUGCACAAACAUUGUGGAUUGUGAAGAAUAAUCUUAAAAAUCAUGUGUCUGUGUGUGUGUGUGUGUAUGUGUGUCACAUAUUAAGGUCAAAGAAAAAUUUUUUUUUGGUGUUU